UCCUGGUGGCUCAAAGGGUAAAGAGCCUGCCUGAAACGCAGGAGAUCCAGGUUCGAUCCCUGGGUCAGGAA
rfam:TPA: Bos taurus chromosome 6, whole genome shotgun sequence.